UGAGGAAUAUUGCGCAAUGGGCGAAAGCCUGACGCAGCCACGCCGCGUGGAGGAUGACACCCCUCUGGGGCGUAAACUCCUUUUAUGUGAGAAGAAAACCUCGUUCUGCGAGGAUUGACGGUAUCAUAUGAAUAAGCACCGGCUAACUCCGUGCCAGCAGCCGCGGUAAUACGGAGGGUGCAAGCGUUGUCCGGAUUCACUGGGUGUAAAGGGUGUGUAGGUGGAAUGGCAAGUCAGAGGUGAAAGCCUACAGCUUAACUGUAGAACUGCCUUUGAUACUGCCGUUCUUGAGUACUGGAGAAGUCACUGGAAUUCGUGGUGUAGCGGUGAAAUGCGUAGAUAUCACGAGGAACACCUGAGGCGUAGGCGGGUGACUAAACAGAUACUGACGCUGAGGCACGAAAGCGUGGGGAGCAAACAGG
rnacentral:rRNA from 1 species